AUACAGAGGGUGCGAGCGUUAAUCGGAAUUACUGGGCGUAAAGCGCGCGUAGGCGGUCUAUUAAGUCAGAUGUGAAAUCCCAGGGCUCAACCUUGGAACUGCAUCUGAUACUGAUAGACUAGAGUUUUGGAGAGGGAAGUAGAAUUUCAGGUGUAGCGGUGAAAUGCAUAGAGAUCUGAAGGAAUACCAGUGGCGAAGGCGACUUCCUGGCCAAAAACUGACGCUGAGGUGCGAAAGCGUGGGUAGCAAACGGGAUUAGAAACCCUGUAGUCC
rnacentral:rRNA from 1 species